rnacentral:lncRNA from 1 species
GUUUGAUAUUAACCAUGUCCUCAUUGGCAGGAAGGGAGCUGGGCUCCCUAAGGGGAGUGCAGAACUUGGUGCAUGAGAAAGGGACUCAUCACCUGGGUUCUAGGCUUCCCCACGGUCCACAGGUUCUGACUCAGCCAGUGUCAGGGAUCGUGGGAAUCAGAGUGUCCCUCCAGACACCAGCCAGAGGACACUUCCUGAACCCUGAGUAGGUAUGUGUGGCCCCCUGGUGGGAUCCUCCACCAUCUUCCCCCUGGUUCUCAUUGCUCACGCAAGUGGAUGCUGCGGUUUCCGAAGUCAGGAGUCAGAGGUGGGAGAGUGAGAAAGAGGAAGAAGGGGGCCCAAGGACCUCUGUUGGAGGCACCGUGUCGCAAGAGCCCACUCCUGACCGCAGUGGGGUGGGAGCUUCGACUUGAUGGCAGCCAGUGUUAGCUGGCUUCAAGGGCCAGCGAGGACUCUCUGCAGCAGCCCACCUGCUCUGAGACCUUCUCUCUGCAGGGCGUUCAGACCUGCCAGCAGGUGGCGGCUCCCCCAAACCUGGCCACUCCUGCUCCAUUGUCCUCCCAGGUGCUGUCUCCAUCACCCUCACCCCUUCCCACAGGGACUGUGCCCCAGCUGGAGGGAGGAGCUUCCCUGCUACGGGAACUUACUCAGCAGCGCCCCCACAGGCCUGGCAGCCACACCCCCUUCUCUCAUGCUGACCAGCGUCCCUCUGGCCUGGCUUUCACCAAGGGCUCCGGGUUCGGACUGGCACAGGAUUGCUGUUUCUCCUUGAAGCCCGCACCAUCCUUUACAAUCAGUGGUGUGAUGGUUUGGAUCUGAGAUGUUCCCCGAGGUCUCGUGUUUGAAGACUUGGUCCCCAGUGCAGAGAUGUCCAGAGGUGGGACUCUCAGGAAAUGACUGGGCUGAGGGUUCUGAUCUCAUCGGUGGAUUCAUCCAUUUGAAAAAUGGAUAAUGUGAAUGGAUUACUGGGAGGAGAUGGAAGCCGUAAGUGGGAGGCCUGGCUGGAGGCGCAGACCUGGGGCGUGCCCUUGGGAACGGUUGCCCUGGUCCCCUCCUCUCCCUCUCUGGCUUUCCACCUGUCUUGAGUGACAGCUUUCCCCCACCACCCCCUUCCACCUUGACGUUCUGCCUCAUCUUGGGCCCAGAGCCAUGGACACUGCUGACCAUGGACUGAACCUCUGGACCCUGUCCUGCUCUGCUGUUCUCCUCAGGUACUUGUCUGCGGUGAUGAGAAGCGAACGCUCAUGGUUUCCUCACCUGGCAAAAUCAGGAUGUACUCAGGAGGAACACAGCAGGCACUUGUGGGACCUGUGUCCAUCAGAGCCAAAUGCGUUCCUGCUGGCCGCUCCCCAGCUCCAGGGGGUUACCUCUGCCCACACAGGGCUGGCGUUUGUUCUGCUGAG